rnacentral:rRNA from 1 species
GACGAACGCUGGCGGCGUGCUUAACACAUGCAAGUCGAACGGAAAGGCCCUGCUUUUGUGGGGUGCUCGAGUGGCGAACGGGUGCGUAACACGUGAGUAACCUGCCCUUGACUUUGGGAUAACUUCAGGAAACGGGGGCUAAUACCGUAUAGGAGCUCCUGCUGCAUGGUGGGGGUUGGAAAGUUUCGGCGGUUGGGGAUGGACUCGCGGCUUAUCAGCUUGUUGGUGGGGUAGUGGCUUACCAAGGCUUUGACUGGUAGCCGGCCUGAGAGGGGGAACGGGCACAAUGGGCCUGAGAUACGGCCCAGACUCGUACGGGAGGCAGCAGGCGGAAAUAUGGCACAGUGGGCGGAAGCCUGAUGCAGCAACGCCCGGUGUGUGAUGACGGCUUUUGGGUUGUAAACCGCUUUCGCCUGUGACGAAGCGGGAGUGACGGUAAUGGGUAAAGAAGCACCGGCUAACUACGUG